rnacentral:rRNA from 1 species
UGAGACCUACGGGAGGCAGCAGUGGGGAAUAUUGCGCAAUGGGGGGAACCCUGACGCAGCAACGCCGCGUGAGUGAAGAAGGCCUUCGGGUUGUAAAGCUCUUUAGUCAGGGACGAAGAAUGACGGUACCUGAAGAAUAAGCUCCGGCUAACUACGUGCCAGCAGCCGCGGUAAUACGUAGGGAGCAAGCGUUAUCCGGAUUUACUGGGUGUAAAGGGCGUGUAGGCGGGCCUGAAAGU